CGAAGAAGAGUAGAGAGAGAAAGCUUUAACUUCUUUCUCCAACUCUCUUUGUUGUUCUUUACUCUUUCAUUUCUUCUGUUUUAAUUAUUAAAGCUCUUCCGAUUCUUCAGCUUUCCUCUAAUCAAAAGGUGCAUGCCUUCUACACCAAAACACACAAAACACAUUCACUCUUCCUUUUUGAGAAAAUCCUCAUUUUCUUCUCUCUUAUUUGCUAUGUGCCGCCACUGUUAUCUGCACCUCCACCAUUCUCCACCACCAUCGCCACCGCAGCAACAACGGCCUAGGGUUUCAACUCCUCACUUGUUGUUUCUCCUCUUCUUCGAGUUGGAUUCUCUCUUCUUCUAGUGGCUUCGUUGAUUAUUAUUAUUUUUUUGGGUUGAUUAGCCUCAUGUCUUUAAUUGAAAAUUGUAAAAGGGAUCUGAAUCUUGGAACUUAGGAAUUUGAGUUGACAAAACAGGUUGGACCGGUGGGUCGCUACAGUAACACCAGUCCAACCGCGAGUCAAAACGGAUUAAUUCUCAUUUCCGGUUUUCUACCCUAACCGGCCCGGCUAAGCCACCGAUUCCCGGUCAAACCGGUUAAACUGGUCGGGCCGGGCCGGGUUUUAAAACCUUGCAUGAGAGUUGAUGCAAGCCUCAAAUUUCAACCAUCUGAAAGAAGCCGCACAAACUUCCAGAAUGCUAGAAACGGACAGAAAUUGGGAUACUUUAUUCUUGGAAGAGUAUAAGUAAAGAAUUUGAAGUUCCUCCAAAAUUUUGUGGCUUUGUUAGCUGCUGAAUUCUGUCUCUUUUUGGGCGUUUAUAUUGCACAGUUUACACAAGAUUUUGAGUUAUUGUGAAGAUCUAACUCUCUUGCAGUGGACAUCUAGUCCUCCUCUGUAUCUUUGUUCUCUUUUUCAGUAUACUGGUGUUGCAAUAAAAAAUAAAAAUUAAAUGGUACCUCCAAAAUAUAGUCUAAAUUCAUGGAAUAAUUUUCCCGUAGAAAACUUUAUUGAUUGUGUUUGCUUUUGAAAGUUGUUAAAACUUUAUUUAUAUUGUUGGGUGCCCUACCUAUUAAAUCUAGACUUUUGGGAUUUUUUGAGUCUACAACAUGGUAUAAGUAUCUAUUUGACCUGGAUGUUUUACCUCGUACUGUAGAUUAAAGCCAUGAGGAAUGUGUUUGAACACAAAUAUUGUUUUUUUUUUUAAUCUUUGGGAAUUAAUUCACUAGUACUUUUUAUAGCCAGUCUAACCUAGGUUUAUAUAUAAAUCAGCUUCUGAGUUGAGUUGGUUAUUCUGUAUCGUUCAUGUUAAAUUUAUUGAAUGCUAGUGCAAACUGCAAAUUUAGCAGGUUAACAUGUAUAUUAGGUCGAGUUGAGUUCUAUAUUCUCUAUCUUCAAAGUUAAAUUUUCAUGCUUUGUGCUCAUUUGGCAUAAACUUUGCAAAUAUUUCAAGCUGAAUGAUUGACUAAUUGUUUUGUCUUUUAAAUUUUAGGGAGUACCUGAGCGCGUGACGACAGAGACCUUGUGUAUGGGUGGUCUAACAAAAUGAGGCCUGGAAAUUUCAUAAAUGGAAAAGAGCUACUUCAGCGUAUGUGAAAAUCAUUUAAUCUUUAAGAUUAUCUGAAAAUGCAAGUACUGAGGUAACAUGGGAAUAUCAUAUUACUAACACUUGUCCUAUAUCAUCGCUAUCAAUUUUUUUGUUCAAAUGUCUUUGUCCGUGAAUUCCUUUAAAUGGAAAGGUAAGUUGAUAGAAUGUAAAAAUUUAUUUCAAUCAUUAAAAUGCUUUGAAAAUGCAAUUAUUUAGGUAAAUUGGGAAAUUCAUAUGAAUUGCUCUUUUUAUAUUAUCAAUUCAUCACUACUUUUCUUCAUUUAUUUACUUUCAAUUUCAUUGUCAUUUGCUGCUAAUUAACUCCUUCACAAAUGAAUACUCAUUCCUUCUUUGAACAGUCAAUUGGAUUCUUAUCGUAUAUAAUUAGCUAUCUUUGGGAAUUGUUGACAACUUCAUUUCUACAAGCUAAAUCAUGAGUGCAGUGAUUAACUGAUACAGAUUAUUUUCAUCUGCAGGUUCGACAGGAAACUGAAAAACACGUAUGAUCAUCUACUCUUCAGCAGGUCCUGCUCUUAGUUAAUGCUUAAUCCUCAGUUCUGUUUAGAGAGAUGGUGCUGUUUGUGCAAUAGUUCAUUAGUGAUUCAAUGCAGAUUGGUUUACAAAGCUAAUAGUAAUUGGACUAUCUUAAUGCCUUUUAGGUUGCCCAUGGCUGAAGAAGAUUUUGUCUUUAGCUUCUGCUUGAUGUUAUCUUACAGUAUCUAGUAAUAUUGCUUUUUGAUUGUGUAUUGAGUUUCAUCUAUGUGUCUCCUUCUUUUACGGAAGUCCUCUCUUGAGUGUGUUGACAUGUCUGUAACAUGUAAGAUAAAGUUCUAAUUUAUAGACUACCUGUUGGCUAUUUUUCUCUCCUUGUUGAAUGCAUAUAUACUGAACCACCGGAUUUGUUUGUUUGCCCGUACCUUUAAAUUCAUUAUUUCUACCCUACACCCUACCGUUGAUUAGUGGGAAAUAACAUAAACUUUUGGAUUCUGACCUGGUAAUGGUCAGCUUUUGCUUAACAUAUUGCAGGCAUGGGUAGCUGUGAUGGUGAGGCACCACAUGAAGGAACUACUUUGUUAUAUUUAAAUAUUUAGGAAAAAAUUGAUGUUGAUAGUUAAUUGUAUGCUCUUCUCUGUUUAAAUAUGUUGGACAAUAUAUAAGUCGAUGUCUAUCUUUUUACCCCUUUUUCUUAUUCAAAGUACAAACCAACUGCAUUAACCUCAUCUUUCUUUGAUUUUGCAUGAACUGGUUAAUUCAUGAUUCCUUGUUUUAUGUAGGAAUAUUACAACCCUAACCAGUCCAUGCUAGAGUUAGUUUUUGCCCCUGCUGAAGAAUGGAUCUCACGCAGCGACUCAUAAAUAAUUGAUGCGACAAUGAAGGAGCUUGCUAAACUCUUUCCUGACGAAAAUUUUGCUGAUCAAAGCAAAGCAAAAAUUGUGAAGUACCGUGUUGUAAAAACACCAACGUUAGAUGGCCAACCUUUUAAACCUUUCUGUAAAUUUCAAAGGUUCCAAUUCCUUGAUUUAUUUAACAUAGUAAGUUUUCGUUGAUGCAACAAAUUAUCUUCAAUAUCACUUGAAUUUGUGACAUCCGCAUGGAUUGGGAAAGAGAACUUCUGAUUGGGUGAUUGUGACAUCCCACAUUACUUGUGAAGUAUUUGAUGUUAAGAAGGGAUGAAGUUUCUUACAUAUUUAAAACAGACGUUGGGUUAUAAAAGCCCAAAAACA